rnacentral:rRNA from 1 species
GCAGCCGCCACGGUAAUACGAAGGGGGCUAGCGUUGUUCGGAAUUACUGGGCGUAAAGCGCACGUAGGCGGAUAUUUAAGUCAGGGGUGAAAUCCCGCAGCUCAACUGCGGAACUGCCUUUGAUACUGGGUAUCUUGAGUAUGGAAGAGGUUAGUGGAAUUGCGAGUGUAGAGGUGAAAUUCGCAGAUAUUCGCAGGAACACCAGUGGCGAAGGCGGCUAACUGGUCCAUAACUGACGCUGAGGUGCGAAAGCGUGGGGAGCAAACAGGAUUAGAGACCCCCGUAGUCCCUGUCUCUUAUAA